rnacentral:rRNA from 1 species
CCCUUAGAUGUCCGGGGCUGCACGCGCGCUACACUGAAGGAAUCAGCGUGCUAAAACCAUUGUCGAAAGGCAUUGGUAAACCCAUUAAAAUCCUACGUGAUUGGGAUCGGGAAUUGCAAUUAUUUCCCUUGAACGAGGAAUUCCCAGUAAGUGUGGGUCAUAAGCUCGCGUUGAUUACGUCCCUGCCCUUUGUACACACCGCCCGUCGCUGCCCGGGACUGAGCCGUUUCGAGAAAAGCGGGGACUGCUGCUGUCGGGGCUUUCGGGCCUUGGCUCCGGUGGAAACCGCUUUAAUCGCAGUGGCUUGAACCGGGCAAAAGUCGUAACA